rnacentral:rRNA from 1 species
AUUGAACGCUGGCGGCAGGCCUAACACAUGCAAGUCGAACGGUAACAGGAAACAGCUUGCUGCUUCGCUGACGAGUGGCGGACGGGUGAGUGAUGUCUGGGAACAUGCCUGAUGGCGGGGGAUUACUACUGGAAACGGUAGCUAAUACCGCAUAACGUCGCAAGACCAAAGAGGGGGACCUUCGGGCCUCUUGCCAUCGCGAGUGCCCGGAUGGGAGUAGGUUGUUGGGUGGGUAAGGGCUCACCAAGGCGACGCUCCCUGCCUGGUCUGAGAGGAUGACCAGGCACACUGGAACUGAGGCAAGGACCAGACUCCUGCGGGAGGCAGCAGGGGGGAAUAUUGCACAAUGGGCGCAAGCCUGAUGCAGCCAUGCCGCGUGUAUGAAGAAGGCCUUCGGGUUGUAAAGUACUUUCAGCGGGGAGGAAGGGAGUAAAGUUAAUACCUUUGCUCAUUGACGUUACCCGCAGAAGAAGCACCGGCUAACUCCGUGCCAGCAGCCGCCGUAA